ACGUGACGAGAUAGGGGGACGCUUCGCAGGAGUGUAAUAGAAAAUAUAUUGUUGACAUGGCUUUUGUGAUGUAUAAAUUUACGUAUUUUCGAUUGUACGCCUGAUUUGAUCACGGAUUUGAUUUAUACUUCGAAGUUCGGAAUGAUCUGAUCGUAUUCACAAGUUUUAAAGGUAUUGUUGAUUGGUUUUGAGAUAUAACCACGCUAUACUAAGUGUAUAUUCACAUAUUCCAUUCUCAAGUGUUCGAGGAUUUUCAUACUUAAAGACGAUACUUUUGGAGUUUGUCCGGGAAAAACUGCUCUGCUUUUGGUCGUGAGAGUUGCGGUAGACACAAUGAACGAUAAAAUACCCAGUGUUUUUAGGACGACUGAUGGAGAACAGCUCGAGUAGAAUUGCUAAGGCCGCUAUUAUUAAAGAGAUCUGACGUCGGUGCGAACGUAUUGAUGCGAAACAAACAAAUGAAGUAAAUUGAACUAAUAUUACAAACGUAUCAGCCCAAAUCAUGUGCCUAUGCAGCAUACUUUGGUAUUUGCUCUGCCAACAAGACAACUCCAAACAAUUUUACUUGUCAUUGAUAGUGAUUUCUAGUUGAUGUGUACUGUGUAGUGGACUAUUAAUUUAAAAGUAACAUUUGGAAUAGUCAAACUGAUAUCUGUUAUUGAAUUUUCAAAUUAGCAUCCUCAAAAAACCAUUAUGUUAUAUUGUAUGGCAUUUCUGCAUGUUCAGUUGCUAGCAGUGGCAUAGCUAGCCCGACGAUUUGGACCCGCUAUGCAAAUUUCAACUCAUCAUUAUUCACUUCUUUAGAAAUUAUAACAUUGUACCAGACUACUGUAACUACAUACUUCAGUAAGUAUAGUAAUUUAAGACUGUUGAAGAAUAUUUAUUGUCUAUCACCAUUACAUAAUCUACACAUCAACUGGAAAUGCAUGCAGAUGCACCUACUUUCAAAUUGGCAUUUUACUCUGUCUAAAGCAAUAAAAUUUUACUCAGUGGAAGAAUACUGCUGUUAAUCGGUUAUUAACAACUAUUGAUAUCCACCCUGGGAUGGUUGUUCAUUCAAUUUGGGAUUUGCAGGGUGAAGUUCUUCAAUUGGCAGAUCUCUGACCUCACUCUGAGAGGACUGACUAGUCGUGAAAUUGGCAUGCAAAAUCGUAUGGCCUAUUGGCUCUGGGUUGAACACUUGUAGAUACUUAUAGAUACUGAAUUUAAAUACACUGGAAAUAGCAAAUUGUAUACAUUGACUGGAAAUGUACAAGUUUAAUAUUCAAAGAAGAUUCUAAACCAUUUUCACAUAUGUUUUGUUCUAAUUUUUAUCAGAUUACUUUGUUUACUUUACCCAUACUUUGUUUCCAUACUGACACCACCCAAUUUUACUUGUCAUUGGCAAUCUGGCAGUGCCGCUUGUUAAUUCACUAGUGGGUGAGCUGGCAAUGUGUCCAGCAAAUGCACCCUACAUUAUAUUUUUUUGAAAGAGAAGCAAUUGCAAGUUAAUGGUUAAUUCAUUAGGGCCAUGCAGGGAUGCCUGCCAAAACCUGCCUUCCAGGUUCAACAUGUCUUAGGGGCUGAUGACAUGGGGAGUUUUCAGCCCGGGCUGUAUUUCAACCCAGUUAACCGAGCUGAAAUUGUUUCACGAUUACAUGACAAAGUUCAGCCUGGGGUGAGUUAGAAUUUCAAUUCAAACCGGGGUGAAAUCUCAGCCCGGGCCGAAAGAAUGAAGUCUCAAAAUGGAGGUAUUCUGCUUCUUUGGAGAAUUUAAAAUGUUGAUCAUAUCUAUUGACUUCUGCAAGAGUGUGGUUGCAUUUAAAAGUAGAACAGACAGAAAUAAAGCCACUUAAAUGCUGUUUUUUCAACCUGGGUUGAAUUUUCCUGUCGAUUACAUGGCAAUUUUCAGCCCGGCCGACCGGGUUGAAAUUUUCAGCCCGGGUAGCUCCAACCGGGCUAAAACUUCAGCACCAGCUGAAAUUUCUGUCAUGCAAUCAUUUGCUGUGUUUUAAUAGGAUUUUAUCCUCAGGCCGGGCUGAAAUUUCUUAAUUUCAGGCCGGGAAACCAGGAUGAAACUCAGCCAUGCUGAAAUAUUCUCCAUAUAAUCAGCUCCUUAACCAGGUUUGAAUUGUUUGGUUUGAUAAGGCCUGUAUGAUGACUAUAUCAUGAUAGCAGUGUAAUUGUGAAAACCUAACCAACUAACCAUAGAGGCAUUUGUAAAUAAUAUAUUAGUUUUGGGAGUCAUAAAUUUGCCAACCCAUUGUUAUAUUUUCAAACCUAUGGUUCAAUUAAUCUGAAUAUGAAAACAGAGUUAUUGCAGAAGAUAAAUGAAUUGUAUAGUUACAAAUUUUAUAAAAUAUAUAAUAUCACUUUCUUUUCACUACUGUUUUACAGUAAGGCAAAGGCUUUACCACGUUUUGCAUCGUUUUCAUACUCGAUAAUAUAAUCUUUGGCACGGUUGAAUUCACCCGACUUUUUUAUAUCGCAUCCCACAUUGUUUCCUAUGAUCGCAAUGUACUUUUCACAACGUAUAGCUUCUACAAUGUCAAUCAACUAAAGAAGUAAAUGCACCUUUAUAUAUAAACACAUAGAUACUUCGUACAAUAGAUUCCCCAUGACCAUGUGUUGUAAAGUGUUUUGAAUUACUAGCUAUAUGCCUUGUAAUUUGGCACUAAGGCCGCAAAUUUGUCGCACACAUACUGUAGCACUGAAAAGACUUCUCACUGUCGAUUGGGCAGCAGAAAAAUCAGUAUUUAAUACAACUGUUUUUCUUCCGCUAAUAGUAACAGGGGCCUCGAUGCUAUAAAAAUCUUCGUCUAUAAAUCUACGUAUUCGCUCUCUCGUUCAUCUUCCAAAUGAUACCGUCAUUUCCGAUCGUUGAAAACUCUCUUUGCUUUUAUUAUUACUGUUUUCAAAUGUCUGCAUUGAUGAAGAAAUCACUCCUCUUUCGAUAUCACUAUCCAUCGUUAUUAUAAAUGCUCCAAAAGAUACAAAAAUGCUUUUAUUAUCAGUAUUAACCCAACACUUUCAAUAUAAUUUCCUACAAAUGUCAACACAAGCGUCCCCCUAUCUCGACACGUGACAUUUUUUUCCUUUGUGCUCAACAUAGUUUGCCGCCCCCUUUGAAGUUUGCCGGCUAGCCUAACCAUCCUCCUUCUAUUAACCGUGGUUAUACGUAA